rnacentral:lncRNA from 1 species
AGAUGCAGACCAGCUCUGUGUUGGGUCUCUCUCUACUGAGCCUCUGGGGUUUCCUGCAUUGGAUGACCUGUAUAUGAGAAAUGGCACCAAGAGCUUGGCGGUUGAUUUGCUCUCAUUUGCAGACCUGUGGAGCAGAGUUCUGGGUGUCGUGGACUCUGAGACCAUGGUACAAAAAGGGAAGUAGGGCUCUCACUGCAGGCCGAGAGAGAGGGAAAGCAAGCCAGGAGUGUGGUGCAUUUCUGUAAUCCCAGAACUUGGAUGGUAAAGGCUAGCUCAGGGUCAACCUGGGCUAAACGAGGCCAUGUCUCAAGAGAACUAAACAGAAGGGUAGCCAGCAGAAGACAAGGAAGAGGCAGGUGUUAGAGAAAAGGAAAAGGGACAUGCAGAUGAAACACCCACAGACCCACAUCCUUUCUUGACCCAGCCUGACUUACCACAACCGGACUUGGCUGGCCAGCCCUCCUGGCCACAUUUAUACCUUAGAUCCUAUGUAGCAGGUCCUGCAGGGACUUGUGGGACAGAGAAGGGAACAUAAGGUGAAUCUGUUCCUGUUUAUAAUCUAACUGGAGCCCCUCCUCCAACACACACAUGAAGUGUGAGAGUGUUGGAGUGGGAGUCGGGGAGGCUUUCAGGGCUGGUGUGCUCACAUUCAGUAUGGACCAAGGAUCAGGCUCAGGACUGAGCUGGAGGCGCUGAAGGCUUUUAAACAGCAGGUGGCGCAGUUGUACCCUUGAGGAAGAAAAGGGUGCAAAAGUUCAAGUUGGUGUCCCUCAUGGAAUCUGCUGAUGUCAGUAGGAUGCCGGAGGACAGGUUGAAAAGCUUUCCUUUCCUCUCGCUGCCCUCUCAGAUGCCCUGGGGGUAAGUGAGUCCCUGAGACCCCCAGACACACCUAUGGGUGAAAGAGAAACCACAGGAAAUGGACAGCUUUAUGUACCCACUGUACAUAGAGGACAGAACCUAUGGGGUGAAUCUGAAACCCGAGCUCCUGAGGACAUACAGGUUCACACUGGAGGAAAUUCCUUUACCACAACCAAAGUCACUCACAGCGGAGUCAAGCAACAGUUCACAAGGCAGAGACAGUAGACUAACUAGUCUGGGGACAACUAGUUUCUUUUCCUCUUCUUCUUCUUCUUUGUUUAACAACACUAUGUGUGAGUUGCCAAUUGAAUGUUCUCUGUUCAACUGACUUUUGGAUAUAACUUGUUUCUGAGUAUUGUGAAAUUUAUGUGAAUUUCUUUGUGUUCAGAAUGAGACAUUUGAUGUUCAAAAGCCCCAGGAUUAGGGGACAGCUCAGUGUAAAUGUAAUGUGUAACAAGGUAUUGAACAGUUUUCCAAAAGCAUUCGGGUGGCCAAUUAUACAUAUUGAUAUAUACAUAUUUGAAAUUUCUUUUUGUUUCUGUUAACCAUUGUGAAACACCAACAGUUACUGUAACAGUUACUGCCUGGGAGUGUGGCCAACCGCCCCUUGCCACUUUGAUACUGGCCUGGGAUUGGCUCCCUAAGUCACCUGUUGAGGAGCAGAAAUACAAAGUCAACUUUAAGUUUUCUAAUAUUUUUCUUUGAUAAAACUUAGGCGAUUUGACGACCAUUUGGCAUUCCCAAGAGAUAACAGGUGAAGGUGAUCAGGCAGCUUGGACUCCCUCACCUGCAGGGACUCUUUAGAGAAACGGUGUUGCUUUCGGUCUCAUGCCCUCCACCACGGUCCUGGCACACCACAGCCGAGCUUCUGGGAUAACCACGAGGAGGCAGCAUAGAACAUCCCAUCACCAUGGCCGAGGUAUGGCUGGUGGCAGGCUAACCCUAGACAAUGCUGCUCUUCUUGUUAUUAUUAGGUACUGGAACAUGUGCCUUUAUCAUUGGGACGGCCACCCAUGCACUUCCAAUCCCAGAGCUCAGAGCUGACCCUCUGCCCUCUGACUUAGACAACUAUGUGGGUGAUGAGGUUUUUGUUUUUUUGUUUGUUUGUUUGUUUUCAUUUUUUUCAUUUGUCACUAGUCUCCAAAGCAUGGAACUGGCGGCGAUGUCAUUAGACAUUUUCUAUAAAAUGCACCUUGUUAUCUUUCUGUGACCGGCUCUUUCCCAGCACACAGAAUAACCACGGCUCAAAGAUUGAGAGGAGUAACCAUUUUUAAAUAGUUAAUUGUUUCAGUGACUGUAAGUGUUAAGUCUGUUGUUGGCAAUAAAGGCUACUGUG